rnacentral:rRNA from 1 species
ACGGGGGGUGCGAGCGUUGUCCGGAAUCAUUGGGCGUAAAGAGUGUGUAGGCGGCCCGGUAAGUCCGCUGUGAAAGUCGGGGGCUCAACCCUCGAAUGCCGAUGGAUACUGCAGGGCUAGAGUCCGGAAGAGGCGAGUGGAAUUCCUGGUGUAGCGGUGGAAUGCGCAGAUAUCAGGAGGAACACCAAUAGCGAAGUCAGCUCGCUGGGACGGUACUGACGCUAAGGCGCGAAAGCGUGGGGAGCGAACAGG